rnacentral:hammerhead_ribozyme from 1 species
AUCUAGCUGGCAAGUUCCACACAGAAUGAAACACGUGUCCUGGAU